AUUCCAGUACACAUUAUCACUUGUGUCCAGAUGGAAGGCACAGCUCGGCAUGGUACGGUGGUUGUGCCACACUGUUGAGUAUAAUGGUUCAUAGCGAAGCUUAUCAUUGGUUCUCUCUCUCUCUCUUUCUCUCUCUCUCUUUGCUAAUCAAGCAAGCAUGGUGGCUUAGAGACGUGAGGGAAUCACACUGCCCACUGCCUAGCAGAAUCUGGAGACAGAAAAGUUCUAGUGAUGAAGAUAGAGAAGUGGCGGACAGGUUGUAGUGGAGAAUUAACACUGGUUUAACUGGAGUAAUGGAAUGAAUGCGUUUCGGGUUUUCUGUUUCAUCAUUCUAUAAUUUAGUUAACUUAAUUAUAUUGCGGGAAAGAGAAGAUAACGACUAGAUUUUCAUAUACAGCAUGUAGAAUGGAGUGGCGAAUGAAGAAGAAAAAAAAAAAAAAAUGGCGAUAUAUGUAUUCCCGUGACAUUUUGAAAGUGACCGAUUACGCACUGCAGAGCCACAGUAAUCCCACGGCACGUUAUCCGCCGCCAUUAUUGCUGUGUGGUGGACUGGUGGUGGCAGACCGGCAGGAACGGACUGAAAAGCUUAGGUCAUGCUGCUGCGGAAGUGUUUCAUUUGGUGGUCUUUUGCAAUACCAUUCCUCGGAUCAUGGCCUGGAAUGGAACCACAAGGGACAUCAUCACAGCCUGUAGCAUCAGACCCAACAACAGAGGAAUAAAUGCUCUAGGCAGUACAACCACCAGCAGAGGUUUGCCCAUCUGCCAUGGUCAUGACAGUUCAUCCUGUGUGAUCUGUGGUGAAAGCCUGUCACAGCAAAUUUAUCCUGUCUUAAGAUGAGUUUCUCAUUGUUUCCAUGAUGCUUCAUCCUUGCUAUCUUAUGGUGCUGUAAGUUAACAACUAAGGAGGGGGGCCCUACUCUCAAAGGAGCAUCGGAGUUGGAAGUGGUUGGAAGGAGACAUGGAAGACUGAAAACCUGGUGUGUGGCAGAAUGCAUAUGAAGGCUGAACAUCAGAGACUGUUUAUGACUGCAGAAACAGAAUCUUAAGCUGUCCAACCUUGUAAAGGAAAAUAAGAACUAAAAUUGGAGAAGGUGGUGAUACAAGGUUUUCACACAGUGCCACCAUGAUGGCACCAAGUAUAUAUAUAUUAUAUAUAAAAAAAAAAAAAAAAAAAAAAAAAAAAAAAAAAGGUGGUGCUAGCAUGGGGAUGUGAAAAUUCUUGACUACACAAGCUUGGCUGCCACACACAAAAUGUCAUUCCUUGCUGCCACAUACUUGGUAAUAGUGCCAGAUGUGGCCACAUGAGUCACUUAACAUAUGGUGGUGUAACCUUGGUGGCAUUGUGUGAAGAGACCCUUAUGGUUACACUCAAACGUAAUGAUCUUGGGGGACACUGGUUUAAGUCUUGCCAGAAGCUGGUCAUUUUUAAGUUGUUGAUUGGCUGAAAAAUAUUCACCUGCUUUCUGUUAACCGUCUUCAAUUGGAACUACACUUGGAGACUGCUUUCUGUCAACCCUGUCUUCAUUUGGAACUGCACUGGGAAAGCUUUUGGGGGUAGCAAGAGUCUGCAGAGAUGUCACUAAAAUACUACCUGCACCAGCACAAGUCCAUCUAAGACUUGCUAAUGAUAUAUUUGCAGCUGAAAUGCUGACUAGUGCUUUAGUUGAUAUUAGGAAGUACUUUUUUUUGUUUAGGCUAGAGUGAGAGUGGAUACAAAUUUACUAUGGUCAUGUGUGUAGUAAUGGAGGAUAUAAUGUUCAGCUAUUUCUUUUUGCCCUGUAUUAUUUUGGUUGUGGGCCUUACCCUGAUGUUUCAUAGUUUCUUUAACUGCCCCCCCCCCCCCCCCCUCUCUCUCUCUCUCUCUCUCUCUCUCUCUCUCUCUCUCUCUCUCUCUCUCUCUCUCUCUCUCUCUCUCAGCCCAUAGACCCACAGUAUGUUCCCCCACAGUAUGUUUAUUAAUCACAGUCAAUACCCACUGUCCCUUACAUUUUUAUACUCAUGUACACAGAGCACUUCAUUCUCCUUGUAUUGUAUUAAACAAACCUGACAUCCUCUUGUACCACAGCAACAAUAAAAUGUUUAUCAAAAC